CUUCACCUGCAAUGAGAAAAAGGAAAUAAUGGGUCAGUGUUUGGGGGUGAAGUUAUCAAUGGGCUCUACAUAUGCCCCUAAGAUGCCUCAGAGCCUGGUUUUCUCGCCUUACUCAAAUUGCCCCUGCUAGGAGCCAAUGGCUGGUGUGGACCCACUCUGAGUAGUGUAGAAAUGCAAAACACCUUUACUGUAUUUGGCUGAGGCUUACAAAGCAAGUGGGUAUUUUUGUUUGACCCUCUACUUCGUUCUGCAAAAGGCCAGUAAUACUGGAUGGUCUGGUAGGAAACAAGGAAAGACAAGAUACUUGGUGCUCAAAGGUAGGAAUAAGGAGCAAGAAUGUUAAUGGGCAAGGGGAGUGCAACAGAGAGAAAUGGUCUAUUCAAAAGCAAUUUCUUCCCCUGUAAUUUUCUGUCCUUUCCCUGCUCUUUGAGAAGAUUGGUGUCUGUAGACAAAUGUACUGAUCUUUCCUCCCCCUCAGUGGUGAAUGUGGGAAGCCUGGCCACAGUCUAUCAUCCUCUGCUUGGGAAUCUGCCAGGGUUCCUGCCAUGACGGUCACUGGCAAUGUCCUCUCCAGGAGACAGCAGGUGGGGAGAAGAUCCUCUAAGUGGGAACGGAGUAGUAGAUUCUUGAAGGGCAACUGAGACAGCCAGUUUGAACCAAAAAAAAGUCUAGCAAGAGAAAAGAGUCAAACGGAGCCACAGAAUGGACAUUUUGAGGGUUUUAUAUUGAGCUUCUCCUGGCGCCGAAGAAAUGCCUGUGUAUGCCUGCUAGAAGGAGCCCCUCUAAAGGUUAGCUGAAAAUGCUGCUCUCUGCUGAAGUAGGAUUGGGCUGCUUUGCUGGGAAGGUGCCAAAUAUGUGAGAGAUGCAUCAAGCUAUAAACCAUAUUUUCAUCUAGUUGUCUCUCUUUGUCAAAGCCCAAGACCUGGAAGUGUACUUCCUGUCUAUAACUGCGCUGUGGGCAGUCCACACAGCAAGGAUGAAUUUUCCCACUCCCAUUUGACUAAGAUGCAUUAGUGGGAAGCACUAACAUAUUUUCCUGCAUGUAAAUUGCUCUCUGUAUAGACUUGCUCCUCUAUUCCAUGGUGGAGAGAGGUGACAGGGAAGAUGUCUUGUUCCUUUGCCCAAAUCUUCCAUAUUUUAAAAACUAAAUUCAAUGUGUGUCUGCUGCUAUUCCUCUCCACCUCCUGCUUCACCUAUCCACCCAUCCGUCCCUUGUACUCUGCUUCCUAUUCUGCCUCUCCCUAUUUUUCCUUCCCAACUAAAGCCUGGCUACAACAGAACCUCUACAAGGGAGAAUGAAUGAGGAUCAUCUGGACCUGUCAAGUAAUGAAUGAACACGGUGCAACAGCCCCUUGUCCUCCUCUUCCCUAUUGUAUCCGUUUUAUGUAUAUGGCAAUAUUUGGGGUGACUGCAUAUCACUCUGGUUGCCCUACCCACAAAAAAGGGACAUUAUAGAACAGCAGCUGGUACAGAAAAGGACAAGAAAAUACAACAGGUCAAUCAUCCUUGUGGAAAAAGGUUUUGAGGGUUAUUUAGCUUUGGGGGAAAAACAUUACUGAGGAGGGGCUGGAUAGAGAUCAAGAAUGGUAUAGAAAGAAUGACAAGGGGAAAUUGUCAUAAACCUUGAGGCUAUUCAUUGAAAUUAAAACGAAUGGUUUUUUAGUUAAACAAACUUCGCUACAGAAUGCAUGAUUAACUUCGCUGCAGAAUGCUGUUAUGCAGCUAGAACAAAUUGUUUUCAAAUCAGGCUAGAUAAAAUAUGGGAAGGAAAGAAACAUAAAUGGCCACUACGUCAGAUGGUGGGAGAAUAGCAACAGAGAACAGAUUCUCAUUCUCAUUCCUAAUUUGUAAAAAUGUCUAUUAUAUCUGGGGGUGGGGGCAGUGUCAGGAAGUCAACUAUAUGGACCACUGGUCUGAUCCAGCCUAGCAUUUCUUAUUAGGCACUGGCAAAGACUUAGCAACAGCUGUGCAAAUCCAUGAUGAAGGAGGCUACUUUCACACUGCUGACUGAAUGCUUAAGGGGGCAGGGGGAGAUACACUUAACAGGUACCCCCCACACACCAUCCAUCAAUACCGACAAGCUUUUUCUACAAGAAUCUGGGGUUGAUUCCUUUUUGCCUAGGAUGGAGCAUAGGCUGGUCCCUAUUGCACCCUCUGUAACUCAGUUCUGUUGUCCUCUUAUCACACAAAGCACUGGUGUUCUGCUUUCAGCAAUAAAACUCAGCAAAGCAAGGAAGGAUA